rnacentral:lncRNA from 1 species
ACUGUUGAAUAUCCUUGUAAUUUAGCCAUGUUUGGUAACUUAGUUGGUAGCCUUUUUUUCAGAAGGCAACAGUGCAUUGUCACUGUCAUAGUCUCUCUCCUCCCUCUCUCUCUUUUGUACUCUCUAUAUAUAUGUACCUAUUUGAAUUCAAGCUAUAACUGAAAAAGCCUUUUACUUUGGUCCUUCAACUUGGCAUCAGAGCGGGUUGCUGCCGUCCGCCGCCGCGUCGUCCGCCGUCCGCCGCCGCGUCGUCCGCCGCCGCCGGCCGCCGCCAUCUCCGGC